GACGAACGCUGGCGGUAUGCUUAACACAUGCAAGUCGAACGGACUGUCCCUGCUUUUUUGCGGUGCUCGAGUUACCACCGGGUGAUUUACACUUGAGUAACCUGCCCUUACCUGUGGCAUAACUUCAUGCAACAUGUGCUAAUACGUGAUAGGAGCUCCUGCUGCAUGUUGGGUCUCGGCAUGUUUCCGAGGUUGUGGCUGAACGCGCGACUACGCAGCUGGUCGGUGGGGUAUCGGCUUACCUAGCGUUUGACGGGUAGCCUGCCUGAGAGGGUGACCGCACACACUGUGACUGAGAGACGGCGCAGACUCCUACGGGAGGGAGCAGUGGGGAAUAUUGCACGAUGGGCGGAAGACUGAUGCAGAAAAGCAGCGUGCGGGAUGACGGGCUUCGGGUGGUAAACAGCUUUCGCCUGAGACGAAGCGAGAGUGACGGUAAUGGGUAAAGAAGCACCGGCUAACUACGUG
rnacentral:rRNA from 1 species